ACGGAAGGCAGCAGUGGGGAAUAUUGGACAAUGGGGGAAACCCUGAUCCAGCGACGCCGCGUGAGUGAAGAAGUAUUUCGGUAUGUAAAGCUCUAUCAGCAAGGAAGAAAAUGAAGGUACUUGACUAAGAAGCUCCGGCUAAAUACGUGCCAGCAGCCGCGGUAAUACGUAUGGAGCAAGCGUUAUCCGGAUUUACUGGGUGUAAAGGGAGCGUAGACGGCAAAGCAAGUCUGAAGUGAAAUCCCGGGGCUCAACCCCGGAACUGCUUUGGAAACUGUUUAGCUAGAGUGCAGGAGAGGUAAGCGGAAUUCCUAGUGUAGCGGUGAAAUGCGUAUAUAUUAGGAGGAACACCAGUGGCGAAGGCGGCUUACUGGACUGUAACUGACGUUGAGGCUCGAAAGCGUGGGGAGCAAACAGGAUUAGAUACCCUGGUA
rnacentral:rRNA from 1 species